UGAUGUUCAAUCUGCUCUGUAUGAUCUGCACUUACAUUCUGAGUGUCACAUUCACUUUUCCUCUUCUGUUUCAGAGCCAGACUUCACUUGGUUGAUUGUUGCUGUUGUUUUCAUCAUUCUUUUUAUUAUUGCUUUGCUUGGUCUCAUUCUCCUGUGUAAACAGAGACGUAACAAUGGGUAUGAGGGGCCUGGAACCGCUUGAUGAGAGGUCACACCUGUGGACAAUUCAGAGUCACCUGUAAACCUUUUAAAUUUUUAUGUUCUGAUUAUCUUAUGCAUCUCAUUUUUACAUAAACACACAAACUGCAUGUGUGUCUUGUUGUGGACAUUAUUCUGCUGACAGAUAAGAUGGAGGUAACAAAUGUUUCAUUAUUACUCAGUCAGACAUAGAAUGAAAACAAAAUGCUAAAAGUCACAAAGAGAAGAAUUCAAAUGGACCAAGUUAAAAUGGGACCUGAUUAAACUGAAGUUGAGAUUAAAUUGACUUUUUAAAAAGUGUUUAACGCUGAGGAGCUCCGACCAAAACAGCCUGAUCACACUGAUCAAACACGACUUCAGUAACAGUAACACUGACAGACAGCUGGUGAAGAAUCAGAGCUGCUGUUUGUGUCGUCUGUAAUUAGUUAAAAUCCGAGCUGUGGACAGACGAGUGACUUCAGCCUGAUCAAUGAGACUAAACGAGAUCAGAUCGUUUCACACUUACUGUAGCGUACCAGCAGAUCAUUAGUUAAUCUCUGGGUCGGUGGUUCGAUCCCCGACUCGUCCCGUCCACAUGUUGAAGUGUCCUCGAGCCAGACACUGAAUUAUUCCUGAUGGUUGCAGAGCUGAAGUAUAAAUACUGAUACUGACAUUUACCAAAUAUCAUCAUGCUGUUUGUAGCUACACAUGAAACAAACUAAACUUCUGUUACACUGGAAAUGUGAAUAUUGUGCAGCUGAAAUGAAAUGUCACGUGACUGUGGUGGAAAGUUUAUUUCUAGAAGAAUCUAAUGAAUUAUUAUUUUUGAAUCAUGUUGAGUGAUAUUAUGAAAUGUAACUGAUCAUGAUGCCAGUGUGCUGGCACGAUGUUCACCUGGUCUCAGUAAUGAGAGUACAGGGAUGUCCUUAUUUGGUCAGUGACUGUUCAUCUCAGGUGUCUGACAGCGAGUGUGACUCUUUUUUUGUUCUGACGACUUUGAGUCUUAUGUUUUCUUUUGAUAUUUGUGUUUAUUGUCGUUAUUUGAGACAAUCAUGUAUCAUCUGUCAGGUACUGCUGCACUCUGAAACACACACUCAGUGUCCAGUUUAUUCACAGUCUGAUAUGACUGUUCAGUUUGUGUGCUUAAGAUCAUUUUGGUGUCCGCUCCGUGUUUAUCAAUGAGGGCGAAUAAGAGAAUCAUCUCUCUGAACACAAACUGAACAUGAGGAGCUUCAUGAAGGACUUACUGCACGGCUGAUGUGUUGACUGCUUCAGUUUGAGCUAUGUGUGCUUCAUGAACUGGACACUGAGUGUUUACUGUGAUAUUUGAAUUCACUCUCUGAUGGCUCAUGUUUGCUUUAGUUAACUGAUGAUGCACUUUCUAUACAAAGCUUCUAAAUAAAUAUUAUAAAUAA